AGAGGUGCACAAUGCUCUGGCCACUU
rnacentral:misc_RNA from 1 species